rnacentral:rRNA from 1 species
UGGGGAAUUUUGGACAAUGGGCGAAAGCCUGAUCCAGCAAUGCCGCGUGUGUGAAGAAGGCCUUCGGGUUGUAAAGCACUUUUGUCCGGAAAGAAAUCCUUGGCUCUAAUACAGUCGGGGGAUGACGGUACCGGAAGAAUAAGCACCGGCUAACUACGUGCCAGCAGCCGCGGUAAUACGUAGGGUGCAAGCGUUAAUCGGAAUUACUGAGCGUAAAGCGUGCGCAGGCGGUUUGCUAAGACCGAUGUGAAAUCCCCGGGCUCAACCUGGGAACUGCAUUGGUGACUGGCAGGCUAGAGUAUGGCAGAGGGGGGUAGAAUUCCACGUGUAGCAGUGAAAUGCGUAGAGAUGUGGAGGAAUACCGAUGGCGAAGGCAGCCCCCUGGGCCAAUACUGACGCUCAUGCACGAAAGCGUGGGGAGCAAACAGGAUUAGAUACCCUGGUAGUCCACGCCCUAAACGAUGUCAACUAGUUGUUGGGGAUUCAUUUCCUUAGUAACGUAGCUAACGCGUGAAGUUGACCGCCUGGGGAGUACGGUCGCAAGAUUAAAACUCAAAUGAAUUGACGGGGUCAU